UACGGAGGAUCCGAGCGUUAUCCGGAUUUAUUGGGUUUAAAGGGUGCGUAGGCGGCUUUUUUAAGUCGGCGGUGAAAUUUUGCAGCUUAACUGUAACAGUGCCGUUGAUACUGGGGAGCUAGGAUUUGGUUGCUGUGGGUGGAAUGUGUGGUGUAGCGGUGAAAUGCUUAGAGAUCACACAGAAUAUCGAUUGCGAAGGCAGCUCACAAAGCCAAGAUUGACGCUGAGGCACGAAAGUGUGGGGAUCAAACAGGAUUAGAUA
rnacentral:rRNA from 1 species